rnacentral:rRNA from 1 species
CCUACGGGUGGCAGCAGUGGGGGAUAUUGCACAAUGGGGGGAACCCUGAUGCAGCGACGCCGCGUGGGUGAAGAAGCGCCUCGGCGCGUAAAGCCCUGUCAGCAGGGAAGAAAAGGACGGUACCUGAAGAGGAAGCCCCGGCUAACUACGUGACAGCAGCCGCGGUAAUACUUAGGGGGCAAGCGUUAUCCGGAUUUACGGGGGGGAAAGGGGGCGCAGGCGGGGCUGCAAGCCAGGAGGGAAAGCCGGGGGCCCAACCCCGGGACUGCUCUUGGAACUGCGUGGCUUGAGUGCAGGAGGGGCAGGCGGAAGUCCUGGUGUAGCGGUGAAAUGCGUAGAUAUCAGGAGGAACACCGGUGGCGAAGGCGGCCUGCUGGACUGCAACUGACGUUGAGGCCCGAAAGCGUGGGGAGCAAACAGGAUUAGAUACCCUAGUAGUC